CUACGGGUUGCACCAGCUAGGAAUUUUCUGCAAUGCGCGAAAGCGUGACAGAGUGAGCCAGAGUGCUUUCUCUUUUGAGAAAGCUUUUGUGAGAUGUAAAAAGUUUCACGAAUAAGGACCGGGCAAGACUGGUGCCAGCCGCCGCGGUAAUACCAGCGGUCCAAGUCGUAACCACGUUUAUUGGGUCUAAAACAUCCGUAGCUUGCUUUGUAAGUCUCUUGUGAAAUCUGGCAUCUCAAGUGUCGGGCGUGCAAGAGAUACUGCAUAGCUAGAGACCGGGAGACGUAAGGAGUACGGUUAGGGUAGCGGUUAAAUGCGUUGAUCCUUACUGGACUAACAAUAGCGAAGGCACCUUACGAGAACGGAUCUGACAGUGAGGGAUGAAGGCUAGGGGCGCAAAACGGAUUAGAUACCCCCGUAGUC
rnacentral:rRNA from 1 species